rnacentral:rRNA from 1 species
GAUGAACGCUGGCGGCGUGCCUAAUACAUGCAAGUCGAGCGAACAGAUGAGGAGCUUGCUCCUCUGACGUUAGCGGCGGACGGGUGAGUAACACGUGGAUAACCUACCUAUAAGACUGGGAUAACUUCGGGAAACCGGAGCUAAUACCGGAUAAUAUAUUGAACCGCAUGGUUCAAUAGUGAAAGACGGUUUUGCUGUCACUUAUAGAUGGAUCCGCGCCGCAUUAGCUAGUUGGUAAGGUAACGGCUUACCAAGGCAACGAUGCGUAGCCGACCUGAGAGGGUGAUCGGCCACACUGGAACUGAGACACGGUCCAGACUCCUACGGGAGGCAGCAGUAGGGAAUCUGCCGCAAUGGGCGAAAGCCUGGCGGAGCAACGCCGCGUGAGUGAUGAAGGUCUUCGGAUCGUAAAACUCUGUUAUUAGGGAAGAACAAAUGUGUAAGUAACUAUGCACGUCUUGACGGUACCUAAUCAGAAAGCCACGGCUAACUACGUG